GACGUAGGGCGCGAGCGUUGUCCGGAUUUAUUGGGCGUAAAGAGCUCGUAGGCGGCUUGUCGCGUCGUCCGUGAAAACCCACAGCUCAACUGUGGGCUUGCGGUCGAUACGGGCAGGCUAGAGUUCGGUAGGGGAGACUGGAAUUCCUGGUGUAGCGGUGAAAUGCGCAGAUAUCAGGAGGAACACCGGUGGCGAAGGCGGGUCUCUGGGCCGAUACUGACGC
rnacentral:rRNA from 1 species